CGUCGAGCUGUGGCAAGAAAGCGGUCCAGAGCAGGGCGUUGCCCUCGGGGGCCAGGCACUCCAGAACAAGGUAGGAAAGCGGACCUUGAGUGAUGCGGUGCGGAUGCUCUCGAGGGAGAGGAGUGCCCUCUCGGCCACAGCGGUCUGGAUGUCGUCGAGGCAGUGAAUGAGGUGAGGGCAAUUUCCUGCAUGGGCAGCAGCACGUCCAUCAGGUGGUUGGGGCCGUGCUCUCGGCGGAUUUGGUCGGCACAUCCCUGGCAGACGAAGAGAGGCGGCGGACGCUCGCCCGAGGCGAUGGCGAUGGAGUGGUCCAGGCACAUCUACGAAGGGGGCGGAGAGAGAGAUAUCAAAUGUGAGGGAUCGUCGGAGGUGCCCUAAUGUGAUCAGCUCUGCGUUUUGCACGAGAUAAUGAGGUAGGGAGGAAGAGGGAUAGAAACUGGCUUAUAGAAUCUUCAAGAAAACCUGCGGGAGUGAUAUAUUUGGACACUUCUGCACUUCUAUUUCUGCUAUUGGACAAAGUAAAGUUUUACAAUAAGUCUUCCUCGAAUCUAUAGUGAUUUCCCAGUGAGUAAUUUUAAACAAGUUGUUUUAUUUGUAGUGAAUUUUCGAGAAUCACUAAUUGAGUCAUUAUGCUAGAU